CAUUGGUUUGAGAGUCAAGAGAGCAUUGGUUUGGGAGCUUUAAUCCUCUUUCUGCUUCACACUAAGUGUGUCAUCUUGGCUAAAUCACUUGGUCUUUCUGCAUUUUGUUUUCUUAUUUAUAGGAUGAGGAAAUUAGAUUAAAUGGUUUUGAGGUCCUUUCUUGUUCUGAUAUGUCCAGUACUCACUGGAAAAUUGGAUCUAUAACUGAUGGGUUUAGUAAUCUGGUCAUUUCUUGCUCUGAAAAUUGUAGUCAGCAAAAGAGAUCAUGGAAGAAAUCACUGUAAUGGUAGUAAUAGUAACACAUGCCAUUUGUAUUGUGCCUUAGGUUUACCAGGUGUUUCCAAAUACAUUAGCAUAUUUGAUAUGUGCAGGACUAGAUACCUUGGGACCUGCCACACUCCACUUUCAAGAUAUGUAUUAGCUUCAUUAGAAUUAAAGGGACUUGAACUCAGGACCUGCAGCCUAUUCUUCUUUAUCCACAUGUCUCUGGUAGGGCUACAUCCAGAUCACACCAUGACUUCUUAUAGAGCAAGAGAAAAUAAUAUUAUUAUAUCUUCCUUUGCCUAAAAUCUCUCCACUUAUUCUUUUUUAUGAUUCUGCACCAGUUCACUGGGUUAUUCUAUGAUUCCAUAUUUUUUUUAAAAAAAAUCAUAUUUAAAAUGAACUUACAAUGUCUGAAUUUUCCUGGCCUUGAGUCACAGAAGUAAUAUGUUUCAGAUGGCUGCCCAAUAUGUAUUAUCAUGUAAUACAUAUCUGUGUCCUUUUCUGGGAUGAGGAAGGCUUCAACUUCUGGCACUGAGAACUUUGUAUUACAGACACAGGUUUAGUUUCUAGCUUAGUCAUGCCUUUAGAGUUUAGUAGCACAAAUCCAUGCAACCCAACAGAAUACAUGGUGAGGGCCUAGUAUGUAGAAUUUGAAAGUAGUUCAAAUUUGAAUUAGAAGAAUGAAGCUAGGACUUAUUUGGAAAAGGAGAUAGAAAAAAAAUGAUCAGAAACUGUGGGGCCUUAUUACCUUUGCAGUAAGUUAUCUUCUUCAUGAUAUAUGUGAAUUAUUUUAUGUGCAGAUUGUGUUUUGGGAUUGUCAGAUCUAAACUUAUAUUCUUGCUGGCUAAUGUGCUGAUAGCCAGGUCUGAAACUUGAUGUGCUAUCCAGACACAUAUGAUCAGAAAAGAUCUAGAGUGCAAAGAGGUGCCUGAGGAGCAAAAUGUGGUUUUAAUGUUGUGGAAAGAUCACUUGCAAGUAUAUAAGACUGUAUAAAGAAGAGGACUGUGUGCAAGUGGGGUGAAAAAAAAGGAUACGUGAAUGUGCAUAUGACUGAAUAGGGAGGAAGGUCAGGGCUAGAAAGGAGGCUACAUAAAAAGGGGCAAUGGAGAAUGCACAGGAAAGACACAGGGGAAGGUCAAGUCGAGCAAGGUAGAAACAGGAGUAGCUAGAGCCAUUGGGAAUCCAUUUUGAAACAAGAAGGAGUUUUGAAAGGGAAUAGGAAAGUAAGUGUCUUGAAGUAAAAGAUAAAUAUGGAUGGAGAAAGAAGAAAUUCUGGAUGAUAGAGAUGAUAAAAAUAUUUAUUAAGAAAUGAAGUCAGGUUCAGUGUAUGAAAUGGAAAGGAAUUUUUCAGAAUUUUAAGAAAGGGGAAGUUCCUCUUGGAAAAGAUAUAGCAACCAUCGGGGAAUGACCUUUUCAUUUCAGAAGUGGAUGAGGAAGGUGGUGUGAGCAUCAGGUAUAUUCUGGACCAUUUCAAGUGCUGGUGAGAAGAAAGGAACUCUUUGCCUGAACUGGGCUUGGUUUUCCAAGUGCUGCUUUGGAAAUGAAGACCCAGAGAUGCAGAGCUUAUGGUAGUUCAUAAAUCUUCAUGUUCUAUUAUCUUUCAUCUGCCAAUAAAGUUCAUUUUCAAUAAUGUCCACCAUUGCUGUGCCCAGAAUAACCACAGGCAAACAUCAAAACAAUACGCAUAAGUUAGACAAGAUUAAAUCUUGUCUGAUAUCUGCACAAACAGAUAUGCACCAUGUUGGAAACAUGUGUUUUCCUAGUCCCAUCCAGGCUUCCCACAAGAAAGCCAUGAUGUGGGUCUAAACCAUAUGUUUUGAGUAAAGGAGAAUAGAAGAAGGGGAGUGUCCGCAAAAUGGAAAGAGAUGAAGAUGUUCCAAGGAAGUAUGCUGAAACAGAACAGUGAAUGUUUUGCCCAAAACUACAAAAAUAAAAGAAAAAAAGAAAAUUGCAAUACAUGGCUACUAAGUCUUUGAUCAUAAGUCGAAUUUAUAGACCUGGAAUUUGCCAUCCUAGUCUUUCCUUUUUAGUAAGACUUCUGUCCUCUGGCAGUGCAUAUGGUAGGUCUCUAAUGUUUCUUCAUCUCCAGGAAGAUGCAGAUCCUUAUUUUUGCUGGGAAAUCCUUCUAAAUAGAAAUGUAACAUUUUUAUAAAAACAGAUUAAUGUGUUUUUCACUUAGUAAAUGUUUUCAAGAGCUGAAUUGAGAAGGAAAGAGACUGGAGUGGUUAAUGGUGAUUUGAUUUCUGGCAUUCUGAGUUUUCUGCUACAAUUAGCUGCAUUACUUGGUGCCAAAGAGCAGUGGGGAAUUGUUGAGUUGCUGUAUCCUUUAAAAAAAAACAAAAAACUUGUUAUUUUGAAAGAACUUAAGGCUCACAAGAUGUUACAAAAAUAGUAGAGUGGCCUUACCCUAGAUCCAGUUUUCCCCAUUUAUAACAUUUCACUUAGUCCAUUUUCGGAACCAGAAAAUUAACAUUGGCAUAAUGCUAUUAACUAAACUACAGACCUUUUUUCAAUUUCGCCAGUUUUUCCACACAUAUUCAUUUAGUUGCUGGAUACUUUUAAUUCUUGCUGAUUUGUAAACUGGCCUUGCUUGGAUACAACAGGAAAGAUACUAUCUGGAUAAAGUUCUACAGUUUUAGAGAGACUAUUAACACAUUAAUGUGUUCCUUUGUCAUGAGCAAUACCCUGCCUACACUGCUUCUAAAUUUUCUGAUUUGUUUGGCUGUUUGGCAUCUGAAACAAUCCAAGACAAACUUAGAAAGAUUAGGCAACACAAAACACAGUAAGACCUGUUCAUAGCUUGUUGUCUAGAAAACCAGGUAGCAGGAUAUUCUAGAUGCUUCCUGCUGCUUCUACGUGAGUAGGAUUAGCACUGGGGACAAAAUAAGGAGUUUAGAGUAAACCAGUAUUUCAGUCAAGAGUUAGUUGGCACUUAGUUAAUGGCACUGGAAAUAGCUUGUGGAGAGAAUAGAAUACAAUGGUAUAGACUCCUAAUGUUUGAUAAAAUACUAUUUUCAGAGUGGUAGAGAGGUUUUAUUUGCCUAAAUAGCCGUUAUUAAAUGGAAUAACAACCACAUUAGACCAAAUUAAUUGCAAACACAGCGGCAACCUGGGGAGAAGUUGAAACUCCAGUUUUGUGGAUUACAGUUUUGAGUUUUAUGAUUGACAUUUUUAAGUCCCCUAUUUAAGGGGUCAAGAUUAUAACAAUGUGUGUCUUACUAAGUUUCUAGGUCAUUGUGAGCACUUGAUAAAUAUUUGCUGAAUGUUGUUUUUUUGAAUGAACAUAAGAUAGAAACAAAAACUUCUCAUCCAGUUAACUAGAGUGAAUGUAGGGAGAAUUGUUUUGCUUGUAACAUGGAGAGUUUAUUUUCAAGUGAGGAAAGAGAAAAAAAUUACUCAGACUUGUUCCUGGUGAAGUGCAUUCUCUGUUUGUAUACUUUUUGAUGGAGAAAUUGAUCUAUAGAACUGCUUAAUUUUUUGAGGCAUUUAGACAGCAAUGAAAGGUAGUUCUCCACAGGACACCGAAUCAAAAGGAGAGACCAGACUCUGGCCUCAUACCCAGCCUAUUUGAAACAAGCUAUCUAGUUUCUCCUGCAGACACCUUGUCAACAACAUGCAACAGUGUCAGGUGCCUUGCAGGAAAAUAAUCUGAGUCCCAAGCUAGCCUGUGCUCAUCCACAAUCACAAUGAACAUGUCAAGGAAGAAUUUGCAGAGACUCAAGGGAAGCACAAUGGGAUAAGGUAAUCACUUUCAGUGAAAAACUGUUUUCUUGAAAACAGGCUUGGACACAAUUGAAAGCUGGCUUCCUGCAAACACACCAAGAGUCUGUAAUCUAGCCUAUCCAUUAUAUGUCCUUUAUUAUUCAUGAUAUCCUAUUCUUCUACCUUGUUGCCUGGUAACUUUUUCUGAGGACUGAGUUUCUGCAGCGAUGUGGUGCACUCUUCCUGUGAUGAGGAAACAUCUGGGCCCCCUUCUGCAGGCUUUGGAAGAUGAUGUGUCUUGUCAAGGGGUAAAGGGCAAAUGGAUUUAAUUUCUGCUUAAAACUAUCAUAGACGUUCCAAAUAGAAUAUGUAAAAUUUCUCUGUAUUAGAAAAAGAAACGUGAUACCAAUUGUAUAUUUUCUUUUCUUUAUUUAUUCUCUGUAAGUCUGUCAGAUGAUAAAUUGUAAAUAACAAUGAUUAAAGAGUCAUGCUACUG
rnacentral:lncRNA from 1 species